rnacentral:tRNA from 1 species
GCACUGGUGGUUCCUUGGUAGAAUUCAUACCUUCCACGCAGGAGACCUGGGUUUAAUUCCUGGCCAGUGCA